ensembl:snRNA U2 U2 spliceosomal RNA
AUCCCUUCUCAGCAGUUUAGCUCAAGUCAAGUGUAGUAUCCACUCUUAUCCAGUUAAUAUCAGGCAUAUCUUCGGUUUGAGGAUUUUAUAUUAGAUAGGUGUGGGGAUUGCAAGAUGGACUCCGAGUUUGCUCUCUGUCUUGACCUGUCAGUACAGCACCUCAA